rnacentral:lncRNA from 1 species
GUGGAAUAAUCGCAGGGAGUGUUCACAACCAGGCCAACAGAUUAGACUUGGAUCGAGGCCGUGAGGCUAGAGCUUGAUAAGGUUGGACAGGGGUAAUGACAACGACCUCCUGUUUCCGGGGAGCACUGAGCGCUGGAGGGUGUUCGAGAUGCUUACUCUCUUAAGUGGGGUGAACAUGCUCUUUGAAAUGUCGCCUACCGCCCGCACAGGAACUCGGGGCUGAUGACUUGAAAUCAUGGGGUGAAGUGAGAGACGCCUCGCCGUCUUGACAGUGUGAGAGCCUGUUGCGGGGCACGAACUCCUCCCUGAGUGAACCUGUGUCCCCGCGCACCCGAGCCGCGUCAGGACAGGAUAUCAUCAGCUGGUUUUUCCCUAUUUUCCACCCAUAAAGAGAUGCCUGGCUCUUCCCUACUCAGUGUGGUGCUUGGGGACCGGCUGAUGGCCUUGCUGGGAGCCUGCUUCGGGAGCUUUAAGGAAAUAAUUGCCUUUAGGAUAGACAUCUGGAUGCUUUUAAAAAAUAGCAGCAUUUGGAAGAGCUGAGAGACAAAGUGCCGGGAAGCGGCCUUGAAGAUGUGUGUGCCCGACAUGCUGAAGCGUGAUGUGUUUUUUGUGCUAAUGUGUGCCUCUGAACUUCUUUAAAAUGCCAAAUUAUUCUCUUCUGGGAGGGAUGCAAUCAGUUCUCUGCUGACUAUUAUAAAAAAUGUAGAUAAAAGCAAAAUUUCAAAUGCUGUUCUACAAAAAUUAUUGCAUCAUCUCUGGCUC